rnacentral:misc_RNA from 1 species
UGGUUCUGGCAUCGAUGAAGAACGCAGCGAAAUGCGAUAAGUAAUGUGAAUUGCAGAAUUCAGUGAAUCAUCGAAUCUUUGAACGCACAUUGCGCCCUUUGGCAUUCCGAGGGGCAUGUCUGUUCGAGCGUCAUUAAGUCCAUCCGGCCUCGCUGGGUAUUGGGCGGCGGGGCGCCCCCGCGCCUCAAAUGUCGUGGGCCGUAUCGAUCUAACCGCGGCGUUGUGACACAAGUUCGCUGCUGGGGAGGCGGUCCGGCCCUGAAACUUUUCGCAAGGUUGACCUCGGAUCAGGUAGGAAUACCCGCUGA